UAAGAAUCUUGCGCAAUGGGCGAAAGCCUGACGCAGCAACGCCGCGUGGAGGACGAAGGCCCUCGGGUCGUAAACUCCUUUUGCGAGGGAAGAAGAUCUGACGGUACCUCGCGAAUAAGCCACGGCUAACUACGUGCCAGCAGCCGCGGUAAUACGUAGGUGGCGAGCGUUGUCCGGAUUUACUGGGCGUAAAGAGCCCGCAGGCGGCUGGGCAAGUUUCAGGUGAAAUCUCCCGGCCCAACCGGGGG
rnacentral:rRNA from 1 species